rnacentral:rRNA from 1 species
GUGGGGAAUUUUGGACAAUGGGCGCAAGCCUGAUCCAGCCAUGCCGCGUGAGUGAAGAAGGCCUUCGGGUUGUAAAGCUCUUUCGGCCGGGAAGAAAUCGGCGACUCUAACAUAGUCGCUGGAUGACGGUACCGGACUAAGAAGCACCGGCUAACUACGUGCCAGCAGCCGCGGUAAUACGUAGGGUGCGAGCGUUAAUCGGAAUUACUGGGCGGAAAGCGUGCGCAGGCGGUUUUGUAAGACAGAUGUGAAAUACCCGGGCUUAGACUGGGAAAUGCGUUUGUGGCUGCAAGGGUAGAGUACGGCAGAGGGGGGUGGAAUUCCUGGUGUAGCAGUGAAAUGCGUAGAUAUCAGGAGGAACACCGAUGGCGAAGGCAGCCCCCUGGGCCUGUACUGACGCUCAUGCACGAAAGCGUGGGGAGCAAACAGGAUUAGAAACCCGUGUAGUCC